rnacentral:lncRNA from 1 species
UGCAAUAGUGAAGUAGCAGAAUACUCUUAUUCUUGCUCUCUAUAGUUUCUCUCUCCAUAGUUUCUCUUGUGAAUCUCAGUGAAUUGAUGGGAAUGAAAGAAGAAUUAAGCUUCUAUUUAUAGGAGAAUGGACUGAAUAGUAACUGAUUCACGAACGGUCCAGAUUGAUUUACUAUUAGAACGUACAGUUCAUAUUAAUUACUAUUAAAACCACAACCGACAGUCCAGAUUGAUUUACUUUUAAAACCAC